CCUACGGGCGGCAGCAGUGAGGAAUAUUGGUCAAUGGGCGGAAGCCUGAACCAGCCAAGUCGCGUGAGGGAUUAAGGCCCUAUGGGUCGUAAACCUCUUUUGUCAGGGAGCAAGGUCGUCCACGUGUGGGCGUAUGGAGAGUACCUGAAGAAAAAGCAUCGGCUAACUCCGUGCCAGCAGCCGCGGUAAUACGGAGGAUGCGAGCGUUAUCCGGAUUUAUUGGGUUUAAAGGGUGCGCAGGCGGAAGAUCAAGUCAGCGGUAAAAUUGAGAGGCUCAACCUCUUCGAGCCGUUGAAACUGGUGUUCUUGAGUGAGUGAGAAGUAUGCGGAAUGCGUGGUGUAGCGGUGAAAUGCAUAGAUAUCACGCAGAACUCCGAUUGCGAAGGCAGCAUACCGGCGCUCAACUGACGCUCAUGCACGAAAGUGUGGGUAUCGAACAGGAUUAGAUACCCGGGUAGUC
rnacentral:rRNA from 1 species